rnacentral:lncRNA from 1 species
AGAGGAGAGGGGUGCAGGAUGUAGGCUACCAUAGAAAGCUAUAAUUCUUUAUGGAGAGAAGUGAUAGGAAAUUGAUUAUUUAAUUUUGGGUGGAUCUCAUGGUGUAAAAUAAAGUGAAUUUAACUUCUCCGAGGGUGUUGUAUUAGUUACAGGGGGUAGGAUUCUAAGAUUUAAGCAAAUUAAAUUAAAAUGUUGGCAAAUAGUUUUUUUUAAAGAGAACGUUAUUAAUUAAAAGUGUUUUAUUGGGUUAUUAACUUGGAAGCUUAAACAUGUGGUUUGUUCAUAAUUUAAAGGUGUGUGAAUUGAGAAAGACUGAAACAUAGUUUUAUGAUUGUUUAUGGUAGUUUCAAAUGUAGAAUCUCUUCGUGAGAUUCUUUGUGUUUUAGAAUGAAAGUAGGAGCUUAGUCUUGGGGGUCUUCCUGACGCUCCAAUGGCCUUUCUUCUCACGUAGAGAGGAUGGGACCAUGUGGUGAGGAGUAGCAGGAGGUCUUAGUCUCGGAGGCUUCUAGUAUGCUCCAAGACGCGGAACAGACUAACUUCGUCAGUGUGGCAGGGUGGGCAACCCAAGUUUCAUAAGCCACCACGGGUGCAUGACCCCCCACAGCUUGACUCUCAUUCUAAAGUCCGGAUGUGUCAAG